rnacentral:rRNA from 1 species
CAGUCGCCGCGGGAAUACGUAGGGUGCGAGCGUUAAUCGGAAUUACUGGGCGUAAAGCGUGCGCAGGCGGUUAUGUAAGACAGGUGUGAAAUCCCCGGGCUUAACCUGGGAACUGCGCUUGUGACUGCACAGCUAGAGUAUGGCAGAGGGGGGUGGAAUUCCACGUGUAGCAGUGAAAUGCGUAGAGAUGUGGAGGAACACCGAUGGCGAAGGCAGCCUCCUGGGCCAAUACUGACGCUCAUGCACGAAAGCGUGGGGAGCAAACAGGAUUAGAUACCCGGGUAGUCCCUGUCUCUUAUAA